rnacentral:rRNA from 1 species
UACGAAGGGGGCUAGCGUUGCUCGGAAUCACUGGGCGUAAAGCGCACGUAGGCGGCUUUUUAAGUCGAGGGGUGAAACUCCUGGAGCUCAACUCCAGAACUGCCUUUGAUACUGAGAAGCUUGAGUCCGGGAGAGGUGAGUGGAACUGCGAGUGUAGAGGUGAAAUUCGUAGAUAUUCGCAAGAACACCAGUGGCGAAGGCGGCCGACUGGUCCGGUUCUGACGCUGAGGCGCGAAAGCGUGGGGAGCAAACAGG